rnacentral:lncRNA from 1 species
AGUCUGUUAUACUUUUGUUUGGGUUGUUAGGGUUUAAAGACAAAAAAAAAAAAAAAAAAGAGUCACGUACCUUAUAUUAUUUUUUAGUGUCCAAGUUGCUAGAGUAUUGCUGGAAUUUUUCUUUUGAGUAUUGCUGAAAUUCUGUUUUGCCUAUUUCUUGAGUAUUGGUUGUUGUUCUUGCAAACCCUAAACACCACAACGUAAUUUGGGGAAGUUCUUGAGCUUCUUGAACAAAUUCUUGAAGUUCUUGGACCACCAAGUCUUGUUUGAAAAUUCUUGAACAAUAAAUCAAGAACCAGGGCCUUCUUGAAAUUUGCAUAACCUUUCAUCCGUUUUCUUGAACUUGUUGGUGUGAUCUGAAUUUGUAUUCCUUGAAGAGCCGAAAAAAAAGAAGAAGAAAAAAAAACGAAAAAAAAAGGGAUGAAGAGAAGAAAUUGGCUCUCACACAAAGGAAAUCAAGUUUCCCAAAUCUUGAGUUUCCAAUUCUUGAUUGGUCUCCAAUUCUUGAUUAGUCUCCAAAUCUAGAUUGGUUUCCAAAAAAAAAAAAAAAAAAA